GGCCAUAUCACAUUGAAACAUCGGUUCCAGUACGAUCACUAAAAUCAAGCAACGUCACGCCCGGUCAGUACCUAGAUGGGUGACCGCUUGGGAAUACCAGGUACUG